AGAAUCAACGCUGGCGGCGUGCCUAACACAUGCAAGUCGCACGAGAAAGGGGAGCAAUCCCUGAGUACAGUGGCGCACGGGUGAGUAACACGUGAAUAAUCUACCUCCGAGUGGGGAAUAACUGAGAGAAAUCUUAGCUAAUACCGCAUAAUACCCGCGGGUCAAAGCAGUAAUGCGCUUGGAGAGGAGUUCGCGGCAGAUUAGUUAGUUGGCGGGGUAAUGGCCCACCAAGACGAUGAUCUGUA
rnacentral:rRNA from 1 species